GGGUCAGUAGGUUGGUCGUGCCACCGGUACGUACUGGUCUCACUGAUUCCUCCUUCCUGAAGAACCGUAAUGCCAUUAAUUUGGUGUUGCGGGGAAACAGGACUGUCACUUUGAAAAAAUUAGAGUGUUUAAAGCAAGCUAGCGCUUGAAUACAUUAGCAUGGAAUAAUGAAAUAGGACGAUCGAUCCUAUUUUGUUGGUUUCUAGGAUUGACGUA
rnacentral:rRNA from 1 species